rfam:Prevotella dentalis DSM 3688 chromosome 1, complete sequence.
GGGGCACACUUAGAGCCCCAUACACGACCGUGUUAAUAGUCGCGCCUUUGGCCGGACGCGACGGUUAGUGAAUC